CAAAUUCACCAUAAACAUCGGUUUUUGGCUUCUCGGUUGCCACAGACGAAGUCAUAACCGAAUGCUGUGCAGCCUGGUUUGUCUCGGUUGCCUGGUGAGGUCUAGUCGGGGCUGGCUGGGCUACAGGGAACACCAGUGGAGCUUUUGCGGUUCUUAGCUGCAUGAGUUAUACCAUCAAGGUUUUAAAUAUGCAUGAGAUGACAUCACAAAAAGAAAAAUAAUCAUGAUCAACCAAGUGAAGGUGCAACAUACAAUGGAGGCAUAGGUCUUCUUUACUGGUUCACCAACAGGUUCCUCUACAUGAGGAGGUGGAACAGGUGGAGAUUGCACUGGCUCCUCCGGUGCCAUCGCCAUUCCAUUUGUAA
rnacentral:lncRNA from 1 species